rnacentral:rRNA from 1 species
AACGUAGGACACAAGCGUUAUCCGGAGUUACUGGGCGUAAAGGGCGUGUAGGCGGAGGUGUAAGUCUAUUCUGAAAGCUCCUGGCUAAACUGGGAGAGGCGAAUGGAGACUGCAUCUCUAGAGUGAGGAAGAGGGAAGCGGAAUUUCCGGUGUAGCGGUGAAAUGCGUAGAUAUCGGAAGGAACACCAGUGGCGAAAGCGGCUUCCUGGUCCAGCACCGACGUUCAGGCACGAAAGCGUGGGGAGCAAACAGG